rnacentral:lncRNA from 1 species
UUUGAGCAUCUUCUUAAAAGCAUAGGAUCUGUUAAGAACAUGACAAUCGCGAUAAAAAGGUUGGUUCACUAUGGCAAAUUCACUGUAAUAGAUUUCUGAAGUCACACUUUCUGGGAGAUUACUGCAGAACGGUCAUGAUAGCAUUGAGCUGAAAAUUCAAUCUAUAUUUGAUUGGGUAAGAGAUUCAUUAAAAUACUAUUUGCUUGUAUUAGAAAUGUGGUAAGUUAUCAUCUGUUCCAUAGAGUUCUGUUUGUAAGGCUUACCAACUCUGAAUUUCCAUUUGCCUGUGUAACUCUAUGGUUCCAAAGUAAGUCCUUGCCUGAUUUCAAGCGACGAAAUAGAACCUCACACUAAUUGGAUAUCAAUGAUUCAUUAUGUGAACUAUAGGACCUAUGAGCAUCUGUGUUCAGGUGUUUGGGAGGUGCUUAGCAAAACAGAACUGUUUUUGUUCUUGCCACACAGGACAGAGAACUUGCUAGUUUUGUAGCAUGCAUCAAUGCUUGUGUAGGCACUAGUGCUUAACAUAUGUUUCUGUAUUUACCUCAAAUUAAUAGAUAAUAAAAUAUGUACAGAAGUCCUUGCAUUAUACUUCCUUGCCUGAUUUCAGGCGACCUAAUAGGACCUCACACUAAUUGGAUAUCAACGAUUCAUUAUGUGAACUAGGAACUAUGAGCAUCUGUGUUCAGGUGUUUGGGAGGUGCUCAGCAAAACAGAACUGUUUUUGUUCUUGCCACACAGGACAGAUAACUGCCUAGUUUUGUAGCAUGCAUGAUGCCUAAUAGCAUCCAGUACCAUUAAUCCAUCUGGGCAUAUGCAAUACUGGAUAUUCUUCCUAUUGUGUUCAUUCUGUAUUUUAUUUUUCUUGGUAAAAGAAAAGAUGGGACAAGAUUGAUUUUGUUUUCUGUCACCUGAAACGAGUGCGUCCUUAUAUAUGUGGCUGUCACAGAGCCACUUAGCUUUUGCAGAAGUGGCCCUUUUGGCAGUGCUGAUAUAUGUGGAUAAAGAUAAGAUGCUCAAGACGAGCCAAUUGGUCAUCCGGGAUUCCCUUGUGCUAGGAAUUGAAAGCUCCAGGUACCAUUCAAUAGAUGCUGGCCUGCUGGGAACAUGGGACACCUUGUGGAUUUCUGUCAUGAAGAAAAUAGAUUAGAAAAUGUGAAGUGAACAUUUUGCCUCUUUGGAUAAAUCAUUUUGUGACUAUAUCCAGCGCAACCAUUUUAUGGAUCUCCGUUUUAUUCUUUGUUGCAGACAGGGCUGUUGUCUUCCUUGGAAUCAGAUGAUUUAUAUUUUUAGGCCACCUUGUAAUAAAUGGCAAUUAUUAUUUUUAAAGCAAAUGGAGCAGUAGCUACAGUUAAUGAAUCUAGCAGUAGAGUAGUACUUGCAGAGUAUUCAAUCAUACAGAUCGUGUAAAAGAAAUGAAAAAAUGCUUCCCAAUUGGAUGAUAUCGUUGUGAAAUCUUUCAUGUUGCAUGGUUGA